AGGGUGAGCACCAGAUCUUGGGCUGUGUCCCCAGCGCCCUGUGCUCCCAGGCCUGUGCUGUUGGAAUCACGUUGCUGGGGGCACAGCCCCUU
rnacentral:pre_miRNA from 1 species